UUAAACUCGACUUUAUAAAUUGGACAAAAUUAAUUUUAAUUGCGUUGAGAGAAUUUUAUUUCAUUUUCUCGCCGAGAUAAAUAGAAUAUGAUCAACAAUUUGAUACCUGAUAAAAAAAUAAUGAAUUACGAUCUGAAUUAGUAUCAUUUCAUUAUCAUAAAGUUAUCUGUUCCUUGCCAGUGAUGAGUUUCUUCUCGUGCAUAACUGUAAUUCAUAUAUACACGACUUUCGGUUCUGUAACAAAAUUUUCGGGUGAACCAGAAACUUUACGAUGUUAUUGAUAAAACAAAUUCGUACUUCUACAGAAAGAACGACACGCAGGCAGGUCGUCUCCUGCGUCUGCAGUUGAGAGAAAUAUGGCGAAGAAUCGAAGAAGGAAGAAGGAAAUUCCCAACGACAGGAAGGGGAACACUGAGGGUAGCGAACCCGUGACUGGCGGUGUCUUGCGUGAGAAAAAAAGCUGCAUUCGCCUUUUACAGAAAAAUUACUAAAGUAAAAACGAUCUUGUUGAUGGUUCGGUACUUUCCAAAACUAUUAUCCAAAACGACAAAAACUGUACUAUCAAAGUAUCAAACUUAUUCUCACUAGAAGAAUUAACUGGAUCAUAAAGUUACCUUGCCAGUAAUAUCAUUAUAUAUCGUGUUGUCGUCAUUACACCAGAAGAAUCACCCCUCAAGCAUAUCCGAUGUGGGAUAUGGGAGCAGUCUUAAAGAUUUAUCAUAAAGCCAACACAACGUUAUCGCACAGUAAACGAUAUUUUCAUUGUGCACAAGAAUAACACGCAAGUAGUAUUAUUUGUAGGAAUGAUAUUUUUAGUCAUGCCAAUAUAACUGUAACCAGUUUGUUUUAAAAUUAGAAUCCGAAGGAUUCUGAGCGAGCUUACUAGAGCCAAUUGUAAAUAUUUGAAAAAGGCAGAUAAAUAAGAAUAGAAAAUUUAUCAUUCCACAAACUUUAUUAAAAUUAUACAAAAGAUAUUCAGUUGAUCAAAGACCUCUCAGUGAUAGGAGACUCACUAAUCUUUAACAAAGCUUGUAUGUGUUUAGGAUCAAUGGCGAGUAAAAGCAGAGACAAAAAAGAAUGGGAAUCUAUUAAAAUGUGACAUCGGAGACAAUGGGUAAUAAUAUGUAUACAUAUAUAUGCAUACAGAUUCAAUAUUAAUAUUCAAUAUUGCUUAUAGGUACGAACGGGGUAAAAACAUGGUAACCUGAUGGACGUCCUAGGACAAUCGGUUAACGUGGAGUCUGCCUUACCGAUAAGAAUAAUUAAGAUCUCAAGGUACCUGAAGUGUCCACGUGUGCACGACAUGUAGAUCCUGAAGUAAUACGAAUUGAAGGUAUCUGUUUCACGAUAUACCAAGAGGAUACUGAAGUGCGUGUCUUUUCAGAGGUAACUUCUCCUGAGGAUGCAAGCAGCACCACCUUGUGGUAGGUGCUGAGCUCUGAAGUAUAAGGAUAGGGGCCUGGUGGAGACUGCAAGGGUGGCUUGAGGAAGUAGAAGGAGAACCAGUAGAAACCAACACCUGGUACUGAAUGGCACCAAUCGAUAUAACAUUGUACGAUACGAGGGUAUAUUCCCAAAUACUAUCCCAAAAGCUUGUACGACUUCCUUAGCUUGGCAACGGGAUACCUCGGGUGUAACCGUGUAAGAAGUUUCUUCAGGGUGAAACGAUAAUGUUACCCCUAGAGUUUCGGCAACGUUAUUCCUGAAGCAGAUAGGUCAGGCUGAGUAUCUUGGACGACAGUAAUUCACACAAUACAUUGAGAAGCUUGUGGAGUAGACUUUGGAACCUAUGAUAUUUACAUAAUUUAUAUUAAACGUGACAAAUUGUUAA